UAGGGAAUCUUCCGCAAUGGGCGAAAGCCUGACGGAGCAACGCCGCGUGAGUGAUGAAGGUCUUCGGAUCGUAAAACUCUGUUAUUAGGGAAGAACAAAUGUGUAAGUAACUAUGCGCGUCUUGACGGUACCUAAUCAGAAAGCCACGGCUAACUACGUGCCAGCAGCCGCGGUAAUACGUAGGUGGCAAGCGUUAUCCGGAAUUAUUGGGCGUAAAGCGCGCGUAGGCGGUUUUUUAAGUCUGAUGUGAAAGCCCACGGCUCAACCGUGGAGGGUCAUUGGAAACUGGAAAACUUGAGUGCAGAAGAGGAAAGUGGAAUUCCAUGUGUAGCGGUGAAAUGCGCAGAGAUAUGGAGGAACACCAGUGGCGAAGGCGACUUUCUGGUCUGUAACUGACGCUGAUGUGCGAAAGCGUGGGGAUCAAACAGG
rnacentral:rRNA from 1 species